UGCAGGAGGCCAGAAGAUCUUGCCUGGCAAUUAUGAAUGGAUGGAGGAACUGCCUAUCCCUGUCCCAUUGUCUUGUCCACAGGUCAGCCUCACAAAGGGAAAGAGCCCUGGAUGGGAAUACAGUGGAAGCUCAUUCUCUUAGUGACCUGGGAACAUUGGCUCGAGAUGAAGCCUGGCAGGAGUGGCAACUCCAGCAUGGCAGUCAGCCCUGCAGGAAACAGGACA
rnacentral:lncRNA from 1 species